CAUGUCUUUAAGAUUAUAAUUUAAAGUNUAAUYUGCUCCAUGAUUUAUUAAUUAAAUAGCUGCAGAAUUUUAACUGUACAAAGGUAGCAUAAUCAAUAGUUUUUUAAUUGAAAGCUGGAAUGAAAGAUUUGAUAAGGUAAAUAUUGUCUCAAAUUUAAAAAUAGUUAUAAUUUUUUUUUUAGUAAAAAUACUAAAUUGAAUUUAAAAGACGAGAAGACCCUAUAGAUUUUUAUAUUUUAUAUUAAAUAAUUUUAAAUUUUUAAAUAAGAUUUAAUAAAAAAAUAUUAGGUUGGGGAAAUUAAUAAAUUAAAUAAAUUUUAGUAUAUUUUUAACAAAAAUUAUUGAUUUUAUGAAUUUAAUAAUUUAAAUUGAAAGAAUAAAUUACCUUAGGGAUAACAGCGUAAUUUUUUUGGAGAGAUCUUAUUAAUAAAAAAGUUUGCGACCUCGAUGUUGAAUUAAGAUAAAAUUUUAAUGUAGA
rnacentral:rRNA from 1 species